rnacentral:lncRNA from 1 species
CAGAGACUGAGUGUCGCUGCUGAAGGCUGUGGUGGACCGGGCUGGAUCGCGGAUUCUAGGAGCCGGUGGUUGGGGGUCUGAGAAGUCACCACCACCAAGAAGUUCUUCGGCUUCGGGAGCCGCGGGGGCGAGAUGGCCCGGGCUCCAUAGACCACGUCUGCACGGUUCCGGGUACCGAAUCCGGGACGCGGAACAGCGGAAAAUCCAAGGGCGGCUGUCAAGGACCGGAGGUGGAGCGCGGCCUGGAGCGCAGGAGCCGGAGACCUGGAGGCCCGGGACAAGCAGCACAGAACUGCUCUACAUUUGGCCUGUGCCAGCGGCCAUGUGGAAGUGGUCACUCUCCUGGUGAACAGACAAUGCCAAAUUGACAUCUGUGACAAAGAAAAGAGUGUGCCUUUGAUACAGGCACAGGCUGUGCAUUGCCAAGAAGAGGCUUGUGCCAUUAUUCUGCUGGAACGUGGCGCCAAUCCAAACCUUAAGGAUGUCUACAGCAACACUGCUCUCCAGUAUGCUGUGUAUAGUGAGAGCACAUCACUGGCAAAAAAACUGCUUUCCCAUGAUGCAAAUACUGAAGCACUGGACAAGGUUUAUUCCUUUUUUUCCUAAUUAGUGUAAAACAACACAAGAAAGAAAAUAUGCCC